rnacentral:rRNA from 1 species
AUUGAACGCUGGCGGCAGGCCUAACACAUGCAAGUCGAACGAGUGGCGGACGGGUGAGUAAUGUAUGGGAAACUGCCCGAUGGAGGGGGAUAACGGCUGGAAACGGUAGCUAAUACCGCAUACAAACGGAUGUGCCCAGGUGGGAUUAGGUAGUAGGUGGGGUAACGGCUCACCUAGGCGACGAUACAUAGCUGGGCUGAGAGGAUGACCAGCCACACUGGAACUGAGACACGGCCCAGACUCCUACGGGAGGCAGCAGUGGGGAAUAUUGCACAAUGGGCGAAAGCCUGAUGCAGCCAUGCCGCGUGUAUGAAGAAGGCCUUCGGGUUGUAAAGCACUUUCAGCGAGGAGGCGUUACUCGCAGAGGAAGCAUCGGCUAACUCCGUGCCAGCCGCCGCGGUAAUUC